CUCGCGAUUCAAAUCGAAUUUGGACUUCGCUGCGUUCGGCGGCAAAAAAUACAACGGGAAAGGAAAUUCGGAACUCGGCUUUUUCGGCCUUUCGGCGCGCGCGUGUGUGUGUGUUAUGUUAUUGUUGCUGCUGCUGUGCGUCGGUGUUCGUGUGUGUGAGCGAGGCGAGGGAGAAAUUGUUAAAUAAACCGGUUCCUUUUUCCGCUUCUGCAAUUGCCUUUUUGUAAUUCGUAAUUCGUAAUACCCAAAAUCGAAAUCGAGCACCGAAUUUGUUUCGCCUGCGCUUUUUUUUAUUUUCUUUUCGUUUGGCUCCUGGAUUUUCGGUGCGAAAAUAUAAAUUACAACAACAUCAAAAUCGAAAAUAAAAAGGCAUAAACAUAAGUUCCAAAAUCUUACCAAUUUUUUUUUACUGUGCCCCCCAAAACGAAUACAAAAAUUUCAACGAAUCAGUGAGUGAGCCAAAUCAAGGAGAUUGAGCUGAGAAUUAAAAGCCAGUGCCAAAAAGUGAUUGAAAAGUACGAAGGAAUUCGAGAAACAAAACAAAAGUGGCAAAUUUACCGAAAAAUUUAGUCUGUGAACAAAAAAAAAAUAAGGAAGAAAGGUGAGCGAAAGAAGAGGACAAAAAGAAUACGCAUAACUUUGGGAACUUUGGCGCAUCUGUUGGAUGCAGGGCACAGAGUCCAGCGUUCUUGAGACCAGGUGGAAAAACAAAGGUUGGAGCAGCAGGCCGGAGUAAUUGAACGGCAACAUAGGCGGGCAGCAGGCAAGAACAACAACUGGAGAGCGUAAAACAUAAACAGACAGUUUAUAAAGCUCCCACGUUUCAAGGAGUUUGACUUGUUAAAGAAACCCGCGCAAUUAUUGCUACAAGUGGACUUGGAAUAAAGGUUCAAAAGGUGGAGCGAAAAGCGUAACUGGAAAGUUUCUUUAAAAAUUUGGGUAAGUGGAAAACCAUUUCGAGGAAAAGGGCGAGAGAAGUCUUAUUUCGGGUGAAAUAUUUUAUCCAGCAGAACCUUUACCUUCACUGAUACUAAACUUAUUGGAAUUUCGAAAAUGAUAGCGUUGGCAUGAAAGUUUCUUUGUCUCCCCCCGCCCAUGUCAUCACCCAGAUUUUUAUUUUACUUUUAUUGUGUUUUAUGUCGCAACAAACACACAAAAAAGUCAACCCAAAAAAAAAAAAAAUCGGCUUAACGCACUAAACAGAGAGGGAAAUUUGAAGAGCAACAAUCCGAAAGAUGCGUAUCUUGUUGUGGUCCCCCAAAUAAUCCCCCCUUCCCGCCAUUUCGUCCAGUGUGUGCGUGUGUUUAACUGUCUCUUCAUCAGCAUCUUCAGCUCAAUAUAUCUGAUAUGCAUCUCAUCGUCUGCCAGUGUGUGUGUGUG